rnacentral:rRNA from 1 species
UACGUAGGGGGCAAGCGUUGUCCGGAUUUAUUGGGCGUAAAGAGCGUGUAGGCGGCCAGGUAGGUCCGUUGUGAAAACUGGAGGCUUAACCUCCAGCUGUCGAUGGAAACCAUCUGGCUAGAGUCCGGAAGAGGAGAGUGGAAUUCCUGGUGUAGCGGUGAAAUGCGCAGAUAUCGGGAGGAACACCAGAGGCGAAGGCGGGCUACUGGGCCGAUACUGACGCUGAUGCGCGAAAGCCAGGGGAGCAAACGGG